rnacentral:rRNA from 1 species
GAUGAACGCUAGCUAUAGGCUUAACACAUGCAAGUCGAGGGACCGGCGCACGAGUGAGUAACGCGUAUCCAACCUGCCCAUAACUAAGAGAUAACCCAGCGAAAGUUGGACUAAUACCUUAUGGUUAUGGCUGGGGAUGCGUCUGAUUAGCUUGUUUGCGGGGUAACGGCCCACCAAGGCAACGAUCAGUAGGGGUUCAGAGAGGAAUGUACCCCACAUUGGAACUGAAACACGGUCCAAACUCCUAGGGGAGGAAGGAGUGAGGACUAUUGGUCAAUGGAAGUAAGUCUGCACCAGCCAAGUAGCGUGCAGAAUGAAUGCUUAUGGGGUGUAAACUGCUUUUAUAUGGGGAUAGGUACCAUAUGAAUAAGGACCGGCUAAGUCCGUGCCAGCAGCCGCGGUAAUUC